AUUGAACGCUGGCGGCAGGCCUAACACAUGCAAGUCGAGCGAGCGGCGGACGGGUGAGUAAUGUAUGGGGACUGCCCGAUAGAGGGGGAUAACUACUGGAAACGGUGGCUAAUACCGCAUACUAUCGGAUAACCCAUAUGGGAUUAGCUAGUAGGUGGGGUAAAGGCUCACCUAGGCGACGAUCUCUAGCUGGUCUGAGCGGAUGAUCAGCCACACUGGGACUGGGACACGGCCCAGACUCCUACGGCGGCAGCAGUGGAGAAUAUUGCACAAUGGGCGCAAGCCUGAUGUAGCAAUGCUGCGGGUAUGAAGAAGGCCUUAGGGUGGUAAACCGUUUGCAGCGAUGAAGCGGUAGUGGCAGAAGAAGCACCGGCUAACUACGUGCCAGCAGCCGCGGUAAUUC
rnacentral:rRNA from 1 species